rnacentral:rRNA from 1 species
UACGUAGGGUGCAAGCGUUGUCCGGAAUUAUUGGGCGUAAAGAGCUCGUAGGCGGUCUGUCGCGUCGGCUGUGAAAACCCGGGGCUCAACCCCGGGCCUGCAGUCGAUACGGGCAGACUAGAGUGCGGUAGGGGAGACUGGAAUUCCUGGUGUAGCGGUGGAAUGCGCAGAUAUCAGGAGGAACACCGGUGGCGAAGGCGGGUCUCUGGGCAGUAACUGACGCUGAGGAGCGAAAGCGUGGGGAGCGAACAGGG